CGAGACGUAGCUAUAAAAACAAAGCAUUCAGCUUACACCUGAAAGAUAUCUACUACACACCAGAUCGCCUCG
rnacentral:tRNA from 3 species